ACAGAUCCCGUAAAAAUCAUUUCAGGUCAAAUGCGAAGCCCACUAGUCAGUGGUUGAAUUUACAACAAGGUCCCUGCAAAAUAGCACAACACACCCUAAAAGCAAAAUGUAAAUUACAAUAGGCGCCUGAGACCACCGGUGCCUCGCCAGUGCCCCGCUGCCGGCGACCAGCGCCUCCUCCUUCCCCCCUCUUCCUUUCUCUUCCACUGCUCUCCCGAGUUCCUUCUCUCUCUCACGCAUCCCUCCCCCUCUCUCCACAGGAGCACCGAACCCGCCAUGGACAGGGAGCUCACAGCUCGCGCAGCCCGGAUCCGCCUCGUUCGCCCACACCCAACCAGAUCUGUCGUUUUCUGCCUCAGUUUCUUCGCCGCCGUCGUCGUAUUCUGGCUGGCUGCCACCGGACCUGACACACGCAUCUCGCGUUAAGCCCUGCAUCACGCCGCCAACUUCCGGCCUCGUGCGCCUGCACGGGGCAGACACAACCAAGUCGUGCCUCGUGCGCUUGCACGGAAUGACGGCAUUGUGAGGCUCUGGCUGCUCCAUGGCGACACGCGGCCGGCCGAGGGAGGUGCUACGGUGAGCUGCCGGUAAGGCUCGCGGCGGCGGAAGCGCAGGGGCUAGAGCGGUUGCUCCUAAAACUUCCCUCUAGCCAACGUUUUUCUAGUGGGAGCUGAAACAAGGCCCCGAAAACUGAAGAUAUGAGGAAGAGGGCACACGACUACAUUUUUGAAGUCUACAAGAGGAGCCCCUGUGGCUUUUAUAACGCCAUGAUUUUGUUAGAGAAGCAAAACCUAAGAAGUAAAGGCCAUCGCCAAGAGAGACGUCCAUCCGGCUCUUGUGAACUUCAACGCAGCAGUAGAAUAAUCCUCGAUGUUUCUCAAGCCCAUGCUACUCACUCAGAUAGAACGUGAUUCUACUUCUUGAAUAGGUGGAUGACCUUCAUUCAUCAUAACUAAGGAACAUGACUACAAGACUUGUACUAGAACUAUAUUUAUCCCUUCGAAAUUGCUGAUGUGAAGGUGCUUCGGUAGCUCACCACAAUGCAUUUAUCGAAUUGUACACACACAUUUAUCUUCACUUUCAGCACAUGCACCACAUCUAUUCUAGUCAAUUUGAUUUGCUAUCUUCGCCUUUUAUGGCAGAAUCAUAUUGUCUUUGAUAUGAUCAUAUGAUUGCACCAUACGCAUAUGAAUCA